rnacentral:rRNA from 18 species
UGUUUUGGUGUUGCUGUGCCGUCCGGUGGAUGGCUUGGCUCGAGGACCGAUGAGGGACGUGCCAAGCUGCGAUAAGCCCGGGGGAGGCGCAUGGAGCCUUUGAGCCCGGGAUUUCCUAAUGAGACUUCUCGUAUGACCCGAUAAGGGUUGGGAACGCCCUGAGUUGAAACAUCUGCGUAGGGGCUGGAAGAGAAAUCAAUUUGAGAUGCUGUUAGUAACGGCGAGUGAACACAGCAGAGCCUAAACCGAAUCCUGCCCGAGAGGGCAAGGAGAUGUGGUGUUGUAAGACCGCCUUUUAGUCCGACACUCGUGAGAAUGACUCCCCUGGAACGGGGGGCCGUAGAGGGUGAUAGCCCCGUGUUCGUAGCGAGUAGGAUGUGGCGAGUUCUUGAGUACCGUGGGUCGGAUAUCUCGCGGGAAACUGGGGGACACAUUCCUCCAAGGCUAAAUAUAUCUCGAGACCGAUAGCGCAAUAGUAGAGUGAUCGAAAGCUGAAAAGCACCCUGAAUAGGGAGGUUAAAAGAGCCUGAAAUCGGACGGCGAUGGAGCGACAUGGGCAUGAAAGGAUCUUCCGCUCGAAGGAAGCACUCGCGAGGGUGUUGUACGAGAGCGGUUGCCAGUGUCCUGUCGUACGUUUUGAAGAACGGGCCAAGGAGUGGGGUCCAAUGGCGAGGCUAACCCAUUAUUGGGGAAGCCGUAGCGAAAGCAACAAGCCCGCAGUUUUUCGAGGGGCGGCGUGGGUUCGCGCGGAGUCAUUGGGCCACGACCCGGAACCAGGUGAUCUAGGCGUGGGCAGAUCGAAGCGUAACGAAAGUUACGUGGAGGAUCGUUAGCGGUACUGAUAUGCAAAUCGUUCGCGUGACCUGUGUCUAGGGGUGAAAGUCCAAUCGAACUUGGAAACAGCUGGUUCCUCCCGAAACAUAUCGAAGUAUGACCUCACCGGAGAUUGUGGGCGAGGUAGAGCACUGAUUAGGGGAGCCGGGCGGGAAACUGCUCGUCCCCUUGUCAAACUCCAAAGUCGCUCUCGUUGUAGAUGGUGGGAAGUCCGGGCUGGGGGGUAAGCUUCUAGUCCGUAAGGGAGACAACCCAGACCAGGGUUAAGGUCCUUAAUUGUCGACUAAGUGUAAACACUGAAAGGCGUCCCAAGCCCUAGACAACUGGGAGGUGAGCUUAGAAGCAGCUACCCUUUAAAAAUAGCGUAACAGCUUACCAGUCGAGGUUUGGGGCCCUGAAAAUGGACGGGGCUCAAGUCGACAACCGAGACCCUGGAACACCGCAAGGUGAUUUCGUAGGGAGGCAAUCCGCGGGCGUGGAAGCAGGGCUGUAAGGUCCUGUGGAGCGCGCGGGUAAGAAAAUCUUGGCAUUAGUAGCAGCAUAGCACGGUGAGAAUCCGUGCCGCCGAAAGGGCUAGGUUUCCUCGGCCAUGAUCGUCAGCCGAGGGUUAGUCGGUCCUAAGACCAGCCUCAACCGGAGCUGGUCAAAAGGGAAACAGGUUAAUAUUCCUGUACUUCUCUGUGCUAAAACUGACGUUUCCCGCUAGCGCUGGCAGGCCUGUCAGCCUGUUCAAGCUAAUAGCAUGCUGGAGAACCGUAAUGGUGAGAAAGCGUGUAAUAUGUGAUGACGUAAGCAGUGUCACGCGGGGAACCCGUGAAAAGGGAACAGAGGAUCCGUACCAAGAUCCGACACAGGUGCCCCUAGUUUAGAAGACUAAGGCGUGUCGGCACACCCUGGCCAAGGGAAUUCGGCAAAUUAGCCCCGUAACUUCGGGAUAAGGGGUGCCUGCUCCGUGAGGAGCAGGUCGCAGUGACGAGGGAGCGCUGACUGUCUAAUAACAACAUAGCUGAUCGCCAAAUCGUAAGAUCUAGUACGAUCAGUGAAUCCUGCCCAGUGCGGGUACCUGAAAACCUCGUACAAGGGGAAGAAGGGCCCGUCAACGGCGGGGGUAACUAUAACCCUCUUAAGGUAGCGUAGUACCUUGCCGCUUAAUUGGCGGCUUGCAUGAAUGGAUCAACGAGCGCUCUACUGUCCCUGGCCAGGCGCCGGUGAACAUUACAUCCUAGUGCAGAGUCUAGGGACCCCUAAUGGGAAGUGAAGACCCCGUGGAGCUUUACUGCAACCUGUCGUUGGGUUGCGGCCACCAUUGUGCAGAGUAGAUAGGACCCGUCGAGCCCCAGGCGCCAGUCUGGGGGGAGGGGACAAUGAGACACUAUCCUUUGGUGACUGCGACCCUAACCUAACUUGGGACAUCGAUAGGCGGGCAGUUUGGCUGGGGCGGCACGCCCUCGAAAAGGUAUCGAUGGCGCCCUAAGGUCAACUCAACCGAGUCAGAAACUCGGUGAAGAGUGUAAAGGCAUAAGUUGGCUUGACACGCAACCGCACAACAAGGUUUCGUGAGACGAAAGUCGGGCUUAACGAACCAAUGCUCCCCCAAUGUGGGGGACAUUGAUGUCAGAAAAGCUACCCCGGGGAUAACAGAGUCGUCGCCGGCAAGAGUACAUAUCGACCCGGCGGCUUGCUACCUCGAUGUCGGUUCUUUCCAUCCUGGCCGUGCAGCAGCGGCCAAGGGUGAGGUUGUUCGCCUAUUAAAGGAGAUCGUGAGCUGGGUUUAGACCGUCGUGAGACAGGUCGGUUACUAUCUGUUAGGGGUGCAAAGCAGUCUGAGGGAAAGUUGCUUUUAGUACGAGAGGAACAAGGCAACGGCGCCGCUAGUCUAACGGUCGUCCGACAGGGCGGGCCGUGCAGCCACGCGCUAAGUUGUAAGGGCUGAAAGCAUCUAAGCCCGAAAAACACCCUGAAACGAGACUGCCACCGAGUGCCAGUAGAAGACUGGUUUGAUAGAGUUGGGGCGUACGCACCAAGGCAACGAGGUGCUCAACCCGCAACCACUAAACACUCGACCCACCAAAACA